rnacentral:rRNA from 1 species
CGGAAUCUUAUUUGUUCUACGCCUCAAACUAGCAAUAGUAUGCGUCGUGGAACUGUAAGAUUUAGUGGCGAACGGGUGAGUAACACGUUGGUACCUGCCCUCUAGUGGGGAAUAACUAGCCGAAAGGUUGGCUAAUACCGCAUGUGAUCUUCGGAUCAAAGCCUUCGGGCGCUAGAGGAGGGGCCUGCGGAUGAUUAGCUAGUUGGUGAGGUAAAAGCUCACCAAGGCGACGAUCAUUAGCUGGAUCGAGAGGUUGACCAGCCACACUGGGACUGAGAUACGGCCCAGACUCCUACGGGAGGCAGCAGUGAGGAAUCUUCCACAAUGGACGAAAGUCUGAUGGAGCAAUACCGCGUGCAGGAAGACGGCUUUCGGGUUGUAAACUGCUUUUGUAUGGGAAAAUUAUGAUGGUACCAUGCGAAUAAGGACCGGCUAACUACGUGCCAGCAGCCGCGGUAAUACGUAGGGUCCAAGCGUUAUCCGGAAUUACUGGGCGUAAAGAGUAUGUAGGUGGAUGUUUAAGUGAGAUGCGAAAUCUUUCGGCUCAACCGGAAGACUGUGUCUCAUACUGGAUAUCUUGAGGUUGGCAGAGGCAAGUGGAAUUACCGGUGUAGCAGUGAAAUGCGUAGAUAUCGGUAGGAACACCAAUGGCGAAGGCAGCUUGCUGGGCCACACCUGACACUGAGAUACGAAAGCGUGGGGAGCGAACAGGAUUAGAUACCCUGGUAGUCCACGCCGUAAACGAUGCACACUAGUAGUAUGGGGUAUCGACCCCCUGUGCUGCGAAGCUAACGCGAUAAGUGUGCCGCCUGGGGAGUACGAGCGCAAGCUUAAAACUCAAAGGAA